AUCCUCUAAAAAUACACCCAGAUGUGUUAAUGAGCUUAUUUAAAUAAUAUUUUGAAUUAGCAGAAGACAGAAAUAUUGAAAACCUGUCUUUUUUUAUCUUGACAACAAAAAAUGAAGGGUCAGCUAAAGUGAGAUUACUCAAAUGGAUUCCAACUCCCAGCCAUCUUGUUUGAAAAUCUGGACACUGUGGUGUUGCUGCAUGACUGGGAAGAGGCAGUUCCUUUGUCUCUGGUGACCUUGAUAAUACUGUGUUAUUUGUUUUGGAAGAGUUCUUCACAUCAGGAGUACAGAACACAAAUACCAUAGGAGAAGCCAUCCAGUCAGCUGCUGCUAUCAAGGCCACACACCCACAAGGGAGCUCAGAGAGACAACGAGACGGGGACGUCGCCGAACAGCUCCCAGCCGAGCAAUUCCCAGGCUGACCUCCGGGCCCACCAAAGGCGCUCCCAGAGGAGCACGGGGGACAGCGGCAGGCGGCG